CAGUGGCCUCUGCUCUGGGGCAGCAGGGGGGCCUUGCCCUAAGAUUCCUAAGGCCGCCCUCUCAGAGCAGCAAUGGCCGCGGACAAGAAGCCUCCAUUCCUUGCUAUCCACGUGUCCCAGGGCUGUGACAGCUGCCUCCACCAGAGGAGUCCAGAGAAAGCACAGAUGGCGCUCCCCUCUCCUAUGACCUAAUCUCAGAAGUGGCGGCCUCCAGCAGCCAACCACUGGCCCCCAGACUAGCUCUGCUGAAUGUGGAGGGGGCUCACCAAGUCACAACACCAGGAGCCAGGGCCACCAGGCUGCUGGAGACCCUCGACCGCAAACACCUGCCGAUAGAACGGGAGCCCCCUUUCUCCACCCCAAACCCUGCAGCGGCGGGUGCCCUUGCUGGCUCCCUGGGCUCGCCCUGGGGAGGGCUUUGCUCCUGGAUAAACUCCCCGGGCAAUG